rnacentral:rRNA from 1 species
CACGUAGGAGGCGAGCGUUGUCCGGAAUCAUUGGGCGUAAAGAGCGCGCAGGCGGCUUGGCAAGUCGGGUGUGAAAUCCCGGGGCUCAACCCCGUGACUGCAUUCGAUACUGUCAGGCUAGAGGUAGGUAGGGGAGAUCGGAAUUCCUGGUGUAGCGGUGAAAUGCGCAGAUAUCAGGAGGAACACCCGUGGCGAAGGCGGCUCUCUGGGACGGUACUGACGCUGAGACGCGAAAGCGUGGGGAGCGAACAGG